GAGGAUAUAGCUCAGGUGGUAGAGCGCAUGCUUAGCAUGCAUGAGGUCCUAGGUUCAAUCCCCAGUACCUCCU
rnacentral:tRNA from 1 species